rnacentral:rRNA from 1 species
CCUACGGGUGGCAGCAGUGGGGAAUAUUGCACAAUGGGCGCAAGCCUGAUGCAGCCAUGCCGCGUGUGUGAAGAAGGCCUUCGGGUUGUAAAGCACUUUCAGCGGGGAGGAAGGCGGCGAGGUUAAUAACCUCAUCGAUUGACGUUACCCGCAGAAGAAGCACCGGCUAACUCCGUGCCAGCAGCCGCGGUAAUACGGAGGGUGCAAGCGUUAAUCGGAAUUACUGGGCGUAAAGCGCACGCAGGCGGUCUGUCAAGUCGGAUGUGAAAUCCCCGGGCUCAACCUGGGAACUGCAUUCGAAACUGGCAGGCUAGAGUCUUGUAGAGGGGGGUAGAAUUCCAGGUGUAGCGGUGAAAUGCGUAGAGAUCUGGAGGAAUACCGGUGGCGAAGGCGGCCCCCUGGACAAAGACUGACGCUCAGGUGCGAAAGCGUGGGGAGCAAACAGGAUUAGAUACCCUAGUAGUC